AACACACCUUUUAAAGAUUUAUUUAAAUAUUAAUGAGGUUCAAACACAGGUGCUAACAGCGACGGUGCCUCAUCGCCUCUGGAGGAUUUUGUGCCCUUCAAGUGAAUUUAGAGGUUCUACACAC
ensembl:snoRNA